rnacentral:rRNA from 1 species
UACGUAGGGGGCAAGCGUUGUCCGGAUUUAUUGGGCGUAAAGAGCGUGUAGGCGGCUUUACAGGUCCGUUGUGAAAACUCGAGGCUCAACCUCGAGACGCCGGUGGAAACCGUAAAGCUAGAGUCCGGAAGAGGGUAGUGGAAUUCCUGGUGUAGCGGUGAAAUGCGCAGAUAUCAGGAAGAACACCCGUGGCGAAGGCGGCUCUCUGGGACGGUACUGACGCUGAGACGCGAAAGCGUGGGGAGCGAACAGG